rnacentral:rRNA from 1 species
UUUGUCCUACGGGAGGCAGCAGUGAGGAAUAUUGGUCAAUGGGCGAGAGCCUGAACCAGCCAAGUCGCGUGAGGGAGUACUGCCCUAUGGGUUGUACACCUCUUUUGUCGGGGAGCAAAAGCCGGACGUGUCCGGCUGUGAGAGUACCCGAAGAAAAAGCAUCGGCUAACUCCGUGCCAGCAGCCGCGGUAAUACGGAGGAUGCGAGCGUUAUCCGGAUUUAUUGGGGUUAAAGGGGGCGCAGGCGGCCUUUUAAGUCAGCGGUCAAAUCGUGGGGC